ACAGGGUGCUGCGAUGUCCCCACAUUGUCUUCAUUUCUUAGGUGAAGAGCUUUUUCCUGUUUUCCGGGAAAAGAAACAGGGCCCAUGGGAUAAAUGGGCUCUUCCAGCAGCCAGCCCAAAGCCAGGCUGCAAAGAGAGAGAUGGAGUGAGCCAAUUCGACCAGUGUAGCCAGGUUCAUCUGGACCCAGCACGUGGUCCAAACUGGAGGAGUUGACCCGUAGAGGCGAUGCCCUGAGCUUGGUGUGCCUGGGUGACCAGAGGGCGUAUAAAAAGCUUUGUGCGGUCAUCUGCAUUCGGUGCAAGAGAAAAAAGCCAUGGGAAGGACCUGAUGGAAGCAGAUGUGGCUGGUCCUCUCCGAAUCAUUCGGAGGCAUUUGCUUUGAAAAAUCUCAGAGGUGUUUUUCCUGCUUGCUUUCGUGGGGCAAAGAGUGCUGCUGCCUGCCUUUGCUUUCUCCCUCCUCCCUGUCCCUUCCUGCUCCCUCAUUACAGCCGGGGCUCGAUACAUCACUGUAAAAUCUGGCACGCUUGUCAUCCUGCCCGUAGGUAGAGGAAAAAGCCACUAUCAGCUUUUGCAUUUCCCCUUGGCUGGCCGCGUCCUUUCCAGCUCACUCGCUGCAGAUGUAAGGGGGUCGGGGGCGAGCAGGGUGGACUGCAACCACAGCCUUGGCAGACAUGGAGGGUUUUGUCCCGGGAAGACUUUAGCAUUUCUGAAAGAGAGAAAGAGAGCAGCACUGCAAGGACAAGGCAGCCUUGUGAGUGAGGGUUUUGUCUCCAUAAUUAUGCUGUCAAGCCAACCGGAAAGCCCCGUUUGCUCUUUUUCUCAAAGAAGGCGAUGUGGAUCUUGGCACAUCCAUGUCAUGGGCUCUGUACAGCUUGAGGCAGCCUGUAUUCCCCUAAAUGCUGGAGGAGAUUCCCUGUGUCGUCUUACAGAUGGGUUUCAAAUGAGUUGUCAUGAUCUGUAGUUGGCGUUGCAGGAGCUUGUCAGGAGAAAAUAAGUCGUGGAAACAGGCUGGACACUGAAAGAUGGGGGGUCCAGGGAAAUAUUAGGGGAGCGUUGCCUUUCAGCCGACUUUCAGUGUGGCAGAUCCACUGAUGCAAGCCAAAAUGGCUCAUAAAAGAAGCAACCCCCUCACAGCAUGCCAUAAGCCCCCAGCUGUAAGCUGAAGGGAGCCGGAUGGGUGCCGAGGUUGGCAUUGGUGGUGACAGAGUGGCCACCUAGCCCAGAGCCUCAUCCAGGCAUUUCACUAGGCUCUGGUCAUUCCCCUACACCAGUUUCUCUAAAAAUUGCCCUGAAAGGUCCCCUCUGGGCAAGGACAUACCCUAACUCAAGUAAGGGUGAACACAGGAGCUUGGGCCUUGCAGCUGUUUUCAAAGGCUUGUGAUGAAAUGAGGAAGAACCACGGAUGGGCUGGCAAGGAGAGGACUCUUGCCUGCUCCCAACGUUGGUAGGGGUGGAGAAUGGCAUCAGCAAUAGCAAUAUCCCCACUUGGCUCCGAGGGCAUCGGAGGCUCCCCACAUGUGAGACUGAGGUUUCUGGAGCACCGUAGACCUUCCCUGGGCCUUUCUGAACAUCUCUUGGAUAGCCUGCUUCUUCAUGGUGGCCUGUUGGACCGUUUCAUCUGCUGCCAGGUCUGAGGGGAACCGUUGUGUCUUUGGCUCCAGAUCUGCAAAGCUAAGAGUGAAGGGAGAAGCAGCAAGAAAGUGUUUUGAUGUUUUGCUGAGCAUUACUGGACAUCUCCAUCUGCAGAGGAAAAAAUGUUUUGUGGAGGAUGUUUGAGCGGGUGAGAAGAAAGAAGAACCAGGCAUGAGAAAAAGCAGAACUUGCCAGGGCCAGGAUGGUGCGGGAUGCAUCUCAGUUCCUUCUGUUGAGCACAGAGCGGUUUCCAAACGUAUAUUUGGAUUUUUGCGGAUGUUGCAGAUUAGGCAGGGCACGAGUGUGUGGUUUCUGCCCACGUUCCUGAGACGCGCAAGCCUCAGCCAACGACUCUUGUGGUCAGCUUCCCGAAUGCGUUCAACGGGACAAGCAAACGGAGGGAAAUGGCAGUGGGGAGCGUUUCUGUGCCACGUCCAUGGAGGCCAGGCAAGAACUGGCUCAUCUGAUCCACCCCUGGGAGCAAGAGGUUGGGGUUAUCCCUGUGUGAUGGUGGGUUGGAGGGAUCGCUUCACCCCUUGUCCAUCCAAUAUGAGUUGUCAGGGUGCUUUCUCUGCAGUGGGACUUCACUUCAGGCAGCGAUCGUCCCAGUUGGUAACUUCUAGGAGCGCUGCGUUGCCUCCUUCUUGCCCAGGACAUCCUGUUUCGCAUAGUAGAGUGGUGCCACAUUAGAGCUGUGCACUGUCACCUAAAGCCAUGCAGGGAUUUGGAUGCUCAGGACACAUACUAGGCUCAGUAAAAUCAUACGAGAGCACCUUGACCCAAAUCCUUCGUCCCGCGGUUGCUUCCACUCACUGAGCUCCUGCAGUGGAUUCGUCUCCCCAUAGCCCCAUUUCCCGCCAGCUCCCCUCCAGCUGCGCUAGCCUCACCACCCUCCUCCAAGCCCCUCCUGCCUCUGCCUUUGCACAAGGGGAGAAGAAAGCUGGGACUGUUUCAGGACUUUUUCCAAAGGGAUCCUUUCAAAGGGACAGUUGUCAUUAGCUGCGUGAGUCGUAGACAUGGGGACAGUAGUCAUUUCAGUCCGGUUCAGGCAGCUGGCCAGCAAGGCGAACUGGAUUACCUCUCCCACCAGCGGGCCCUCGGGCUGCUCCAUCCUCUGGGUUUAGCAAGAGGACCAUGAUGCACAGGACAGUUGGAUUCUGCUUCCUCCCUGGUGUUUGAGUUCCCCUUUGAUUCUUACCCAGCAUUAGCAGGUAGGAUUUUAAUGAAUUUGGCAUCGUUCAACUCAGGGAAAACUGCUGGGCUGCAUGAGGAAGCCUUGUGUCACCGGUUGUUUGCAGCUGGCUGUAUGUUGGGGUUGCAACAGGGUGCUGCAGUGCAGGGCCGUGAUGGGAAUUGCUGCUCGCCACCCGGGACCAAACCAGCUCGUUUUGCAGAAAGCGAGGCAAAUCCAUUUUGUUUUGCAGCCUGGCCGAUGGACUUGCUAAGCGAUCGUGUGUCGGUUCGAUCGUGGGCUGUCCCCGGCAUACAAAAGGGCCCUUGUUCCUCCUAAAACAGUGCAGUGCCAGACUGUGCAUGUCUGCAGUGACUGUUUCUAGCCUAUUUUUCCAGUCUCAGCCAGUCGUUCCCGUGUAUGAACUGGCCUUAUGCAAGCAUGGAUGUACUUUCUGGUGGGGGUGAUGCUGGCGAGGCAGUUCUCAAGGCCAGAGAACAGGACCAGCCAGAUGGUCACCAUCACUGCAACACAAGCAAAACCCUGCACUUUCCUUUCCAUAGCCCCUUGGUAUUAAAAAAAAACAUCAGCAACAACAAACUAACUAUUUCCUCCUAAAUCCACGUAGGGCGACUAAAGUGUGAAGGCAGAAGACAUGCUCCCUUUUGCAAGGUUUUAUUACAGGGGUCUCCAGAUGAUGUGGUGAUGUCUGCUCUGCCAGAAGGACCUGGAGGACCUGUGAAAUCACUGCCCUGCCAGUCAUGGGACUGCUUUCUGAAGAACACAGUUCCCUUUUCUGCCCUUUCUGCCUGUGGUUUUGUAGGAUGCACAUUUCACAGUGCUCAGCUGUGUCUCUUCUCGUGGAUGGUUGACCACAGGACGGACUGUACUUCCCGUUCUGUAGCUCAGGAGAACAGAUUUGGUCCUGCCAGGAAAGGUGGUUUGGGGCACUGAACUAGGCUGCAGAAGGUCUGAGUUUGACACCCAGAUAUGGCCUGGAUUUCUUGGUGACCUCUAGACCAGUUUAGUUCCUUCUCUGUGCUGCACAUGUAAAAUAAGGAUAAAUAAAACUCCCUUUAUCUGCUAGAGCAUAAGUCUUACACACGAGGGACUACCUUGCUUGCUUAGACACCCAACACAACGAGGUCCUGACCUCAAUGGGGACACGAUGUGCUGGCACAAGAUACGCCCGGCCGCUGCUAGAGUCAUUGUCACGUGCAACAUCGACAGGAGGAGAGGGAAAGUGUGCAAAUAUCAUAGUAACAAUGAAAAUGCUGGGCUGUGCAAUGCAUCACAUUGCUGCAGCAGUGGGGUUUUCUCAUCCGACCUCUUCCAGGGAAUCCUCACCUCUGUGUUCUUACCACCUCUUUCCUUUUCCCCCAGGGUGAUGGCGAACUUAACAACUCCUCAGACCUGGACCAGAAUUGUCAACAUCUCAGUCACGGGCAGCACGGGAGACAACACAUACAAGUGUAUGUUUGAUGAGGACUUCAAGUAUGUCCUGCUGCCUGUCUCCUAUGGCAUUGUGUGUGUGGUGGGGCUCUUCCUCAACCUGCUGGCCCUCUAUGUCUUCAUCUUCAGGAUCAAGACCUGGAACGCCUCCACCACGUACAUGUUCAACCUGGCCGUGUCUGACACGCUCUACGUGGUCUCUCUGCCCCUCCUAGUGUACUACUAUGCCAUGGGGGACAACUGGCCGUUCAGCGUGGGCUUGUGUAAGAUAGUCCGCUUCCUGUUUUACACCAACCUGUACUGCAGCAUCCUUUUCCUCCUCUGCAUCAGCAUCCAUCGAUUUCUGGGCAUCUGCUUCCCACUGAAGUCACUGCAGUGGGGACACGUUCGCUACGCCCGGAGAGUGUCGGUCAUCGUGUGGGCGGUCACUGUGGUGUGCCAGUCGCCUGUGCUCUUCUUUGUCACUACCAGCAUGAAGGGCGACAGUGUCACCUGCCAUGACACGUCCAGGAAGGACCUCUUUGGCCAGUUUGUCAUUUACAGUUCAGUGAUGCUGGUGCUUCUCUUCUGCAUCCCUUUCCUCAUCAUCAUCGUGUGCUAUUGCCUAAUGGCUCGGAGGCUGCUGCAGCCCACACGUGGUAUCUCCCGCAUGUCCCAAUCCAAAAAGAAGUCAGUUAAGAUGAUAAUCAUAGUCCUGAUGGUUUUCAUUGUUUGCUUUCUUCCUUUCCACAUAACUCGUACCUUGUACUACUCCUUCCGGAACUGGGACUUAAGUUGUCAGACCCUCAAUGCUAUCAAUUUAGCCUAUAAGGUGACCAGGCCCCUAGCUAGCACCAACAGUUGCUUGGAUCCCAUUUUAUAUUUCUUAGCAGGACAAAGAUUUAUGAAGUUUGCAAGCAACAAAAUGCCAGGGAAACCGCAAAAUGAAAUGGCCCUGGGAAUCUCGGCCAACACUCACCUGAAAACCGCCAGCGACACAGACACAAUAUCCAAGGAUGGGAAAUCCUAGCUCCUCUCCAUCACGUUACGGUGAGUACCCUCUCCCCAGUGGAAGGGUUUAUCCACUGUGUGAAGGGAGCUGGUGAUGCCUUGGGUCUCCCGAGGCCUGUGGUGGUCUGCAGUGCCCUGGCUUGCACCCGCUUCAGCAUGGUCCCUGUUAAAUGCACUCCUAUGCAAGCUGCUCUUUUGAACGUUUUUUUAAAGAAGACGCUGCUGUGGUUAUACCAAGAAACCCCAUAUCUGUGUCUCUUCUGCCAAACCUGCACAUCUGCUCAACUGUUCAACACCGAAUGGCGUCUCCCCAACAGUGAAUAAAUGUCCAGUAAUGCCCGUGCUCAGCCCAAGUCCUUGCCUCUUGAAGACAGGAGGACAGGAGACCCGAAGGAGCCAGCCAGCAGUACUGGAUGAGGCUUUGGUGCGGAGGCAGGUCGAAGGCUACCCCAGUGCUCCCCACAAUGGCUCUUGUCCUACCGCUGGCCAAAGUGGACCUCAAAAGCCAUCAAGCAGGUUUCAGGCCUCCCUCCGCCCGAUCUGUCCCCAGCAGCUUCAUGGAGCUCCUUGUGGUCGCUGCACACCAGACCUGCACAGCCUAGCCAGGUAUUUGUAACAGAGCGACCCAACAACUUAUGAUUUGGCCUUAGAAGGUCUGACGAAGGUUCAGGCAGGCUAGGACAUGCUCUGGCACCGAGUGAGGCAAUGUCUCCUGGAGUCCACCUGCAGGGCAAAACCUCCUCAGUGCAACUAGGCCUCCUCCUAAUCGCUCCUGAAUUUGGGACUGGAUCUCCACUCACCCACAAGACUCACAAGGGGUUGAAGCCACCACCCGUAAUGUGAUAAAUUCUGUAGCUGGUUGUCUUCUGCCUGCGUGACCCAUCUCCCCAUGCUUGGUGGGUGCUUUCCUUGGGUCCUCCUGUUGAAGACCAGAUGAGGUUGCUGGAUUAACUGAUUAAUCUGCAGUCCUGGGGUCUUUCUGUUUCAUUCGGUGGCUGGGGCCACCCACAACUCGUGCUGGAGUGAAAUGGCUCAUUCUCAAAGGCUUCUCACCCUAAUUGAAAGAAACCAACAGGGGGAGGUUUCCAGCGUCUAACCACAGUCCCCGUGAAAAAAAAAGAUGACUAUUUUCUAUUGUAAUUUAUCUGCUGUCUGCUCCCAGCCUUGGCUUCUGCUAUGCCUUUCUCUGCCAAGGCAAUGAAUCUCUCAGGACGCCGUCGUUUCACUUAUGCAUUUAUUAUAAACUGUGCUCAAGUCACCUUGAAAUCUUCCUUGUAAUAAACGGAGUGGCUCGAAUUGCUUCCCUCUUAUCUGAAGGCAAUAGCCGC